ACGUUGAAAGCAGUCUUAGAGCCUCAAAUCCGAUGCCCCCUCCCCAAGCCAUUCCCUCGGCCGCGACAUCAACGGCAACGAGCAUGGCCCCCCUCUACCUCCUCCACCUUGCCGUUUGUGGCCUCCGCACCGCCCCAACGUCGACACCUCCGUCCUCCCCCUCUACUCCCAGCGCACCACCGCCGCGUAUGCGCUAUCCCACCCGAUGGACGUGUUGCCGCCUCUGCAGCACGCCCUGUCGCUGCCGACCCCGCCCAGCCAUGCAUUUGGAGUUUACAAUGUGGAGACAUGGUUUAUCCACCGGACGGCGAGGUUGGUGCGCGGAUGGCGAGGGAGGACCUCCACUGGGCCUACUCCACACCUCUUCCUGUCUACCGAGGUCGAGCACAUGGAGGACCUGCUCCGCUGUCGGGCACUCCUGAGCCAGCGACUACAAAAUCCACUCUGGUUCUCUACUUCACCCUCCAUAUUACAAUAUGUACUCUGUAGAUGUGAGAUGAGACACCCAAGCAGUCAAACUAAACACUAUUGUCCAAUCCCCUCUUCCAAAUUCAUUACAAUCCUAUUAGCAUGCAAAGAUUUAAUUUGAUGCAAUGUUUUGAUUUGUACUACGUUUUUACUAGCUUUGCAGAUGCUUCAGAAGGUUAUGGUCAGUGACUUUUUUCUUUUCAGAUUUGUUAGAAUAGACACAGAAAUUUAGAUUUCUCUCCUGUAAUGUUGUUAGCAUUGGUCUUAAUUUUAUUUGCUGUUGUUAGGAGAGGAUUUGAUUAUCAUGAUCAGUACAAGAUAUCAAUCAUUAAAUAGCGAAUUCACUCUAAUUUCUAGCCACCAUUUUUCUAAGUACCAUGUUGCUGCUCUCUUUCCGCUGGAUGAACAUUUGAACAGUGGCACUGAAUAGUGAUCUUAUAGUGCUGGCCCGCAACACAUGGGGUGCUUCUGUUCUUUUACCCAUUGAAAUGUUAUGGAUCUUUUUUCUAAUCUAAGAUUAGAAGUAUGGUCGUGAUACUAUUUUGCUAUAAUCUAUGAAUGUUUUUCUGUAAAAACCAAUCUGUUUUUGCUUUAGAUUACCAAACUAAAUUGUCUCUAUGCUUUUUUGUGGGUGAUUUUGUUGGACCCCUACAGCCGUGAUGGCAUGGGAGGCUGGCAAGUCGAUUCUUUGUAUAUAGUUAGUAGUACAAAACUAUAUGCUAUGAGGGUCCGGAGAAAUUGACGAUGAGGAGCAGCUAGAGGUCGUGGUGGAGAAGGGCUAGAGAAAGGGAUGACGAGGGACAGUUGCAAGUUGUGGUGGAGAAGGGCGACGACCCCAUGACAACAUGGGGUGAAUUUCUAUAUCAGUUGCCAAUCAUAAGAAACAAAUCUUAUUAUUGCACUCCAGGUAUUAUGCACAGGCUUUGGAGUUCUUGAUGUUUCCUGUUUGUGUAAACUCAAACGCCGAGGAUUUUAUUGAAGCAAUAAAAGGGCCAGAUGCUAUUAUUGUUGGCUAUAUCAGACAGUUUGUCAUCAAGCCUUUGUUUGGAUUCCUUUUUGGCACUCUUAUGGAGUACUAAGCUACACUGAAGAAUUUGGGCUUAAGAGUGAGGUUUUGAAGGUGACUCUUGCAACUGACGUCGUGAACUGAGUGUGAAUAUCUACUGGAUGGGCAAGCAAGUUUCCAACCCCAUGCCCUCCCAUCGAUUCUGCUGCCUGAUCCGGCUAGAGUUUAUUAGGACUCGCAACUACCUCGGAGUUCACUGCUGUAAAUAUGGGUAACACCCUACCAGUGCACGAUAUGUCGGAAUCCACAGGUAAAAUCGAAUCUAUGUUGCUUCAAAAGUUACUCCCUUUUGUCUGUUCUUGGCUAGAACAAGGUCUGGUCAAAAUAAGAAUGCUUUUUGUUCCAUUUUAGUUGGAGUUUGGGUUUUCAAAUCUGGGCCAGAUUAGUUCGAUUUAAUAAUUUGGUUUCUAAGGUGCAGCAGCCAUAGGAUCUCCCAACAAGGAGGAUCUUGCAACAAUGACAUUGAUCAAGAAUUGGAUGUUGGAAAUUAUGGUUUGGCAUUGUUACUUCUCUUACUCCUGUUUCAUGUCCCAAUCUGAGCUGACUCGUGUUGGUAAUCAUGUAAUUUUUCCUUCGUGCUUCUAUUCUUCCUAUACGCUUUAGGCAUGGCAUGUUGUGCACUAACAUUUUGAUUAACAAUACAACACAUGGUCAUACAUAUGGUAUUGUUGCACUAUUUUUUUGUUGCAACGCACGGGUAUUCAACCAGGGCAUCUCAGAUUGGGAGUGGGAGGAGGAUGAGGAGAUGAUUUGGUGCUACCAGGGACAGGCCCCAUCUCCUAGAAAUGGAUCUUCCUCCUUUGCAUGGGCAACUUGUGCAUCGGGCUACUCUUCACCAACAGAAAACCAUCACUGAGAAAGAGCAGUUAGCAAGUGGUGUUGUCGUGUUGCGACUCAAAAGGGCUUGCCUAUGGGCAUCCACAUAGGAGCCAUCCCCAAAUGCUGACUGACCAAAUGUUCGGUAUGGGAGCCACAAAUAGCAGCACGAUGGGAAUGCAGCAGCAGCAGCAAGGGGUAUACGGGAACAUGCAGGCAGGUGCCCAGAACGUGCAAAGUAUGGCGGGCCUUCAGAACCAGACCCAGAAUCCCAACUUCACUCAGCAGAUUCAACAAAACCAACAAUGAUUCAACACUAACGGUCAUGGAGGUUGAAAGAUGAGCAAUAUAGCCAUCGUUUUGCUAUUUGUCUGUUGGUCUUUACUCAGCUUAUCCGUGAGACUGAUAGUAGCCCCAGGUUGAUAGCCUUCGUUUUUCUGUAAAUCAAUGUAGAUGCAUCGCCAUUAGCGAGAUGCAGGUCAAUUAUAUACGUUGUAACUGUGUUUCGGAUAUGUGAAUCGUGUUACGUGCGUUCCUUUUAUUUAUAAUUAAGCCUCGCAGCAAGGCCGACAAUCGAAUUGCAUACGGCUAGACGAGUGGGUGGUUCAUCAGGAUGAAAAUUGGUCAUCAGGUGGACCCUAGAAUUAUUUGAGGAACUCACAGAUGUACUGUAAUAUGUAUUCCCUGUUGUCUUUCUGGAUAAAUAGCCCAAGAUGUUGGCCCUA